rnacentral:rRNA from 1 species
GAUGAACGCUGGCGGCGUGCCUAAUACAUGCAAGUCGAACGCUGGAAAUCUAGAUUGCUAGAUUGAAGGAGUGGCGAACGGGUGAGUAAUACAUAAGCAACCUACCCACGAAGACUGGGAUAAUCUCUGGAAACGGGGACUAAUACCGGAUAGGUAAUCGGAAGGCAUCUUCUGAUUAUUAAAGGUUAAAAACACUGGUGGAUGGGCUUAUGGCGCAUUAGUUAGUUGGUGAGGUAACGGCCCACCAAGACGAUGAUGCGUAGCCGGCCUGAGAGGGUGAACGGCCACAUUGGGACUGAGCCACGGCCCAGACUCCUACGGGAGGCAGCAGUAGGGAAUUUUCGGCAAUGGGGGAAACCCUGACCGAGCAACGCCGCGUGAGUGAUGACGGCCUUCGGGUUGUAAAGCUCUGUUGUAAGGGAAGAACGGUAGAUAGAGAAUAUCUAAAUGACGGUACCUUACCAGAAAGCCACGGCUAACUACGUG